GAACGCUGGCGGCGUGCCUAAUACAUGCAAGUCGAGCGAACAGAUAAGGAGCUUGCUCCUUUGACGUUAGCGGCGGACGGGUGAGUAACACGUGGGUAACCUACCUAUAAGACUGGAAUAACUCCGGGAAACCGGGGCUAAUGCCGGAUAACAUGUUGAACCGCAUGGUUCUACAGUGAAAGACGGUCUUGCUGUCACUUAUAGAUGGACCCGCGCCGUAUUAGCUAGUUGGUGGGGUAACGGCCUACCAAGGCGACGAUACGUAGCCGACCUGAGAGGGUGAUCGGCCACACUGGAACUGAGACACGGUCCAGACUCCUACGGGAGGCAGCAGUAGGGAAUCUUCCGCAAUGGGCGAAAGCCUGACGGAGCAACGCCGCGUGAGUGAUGAAGGUCUUCGGAUCGUAAAGCUCUGUUGUUAGGGAAGAACAAAUGUGUAAGUAACUGUGCACAUCUUGACGGUACCUAACCAGAAAGCCACGGCUAACUACGUGCCAGCAGCC
rnacentral:rRNA from 1 species